GUCCAUACGUAAACGAUGAAUGCUAAGUGUUGGAGGGUUCCGCCCUUCAGUGCUGCAGCUAACGCAUUAAGCAUUCCGCUGGGGAGUACGGCCGCAAGGCUGAAACUCAAAGGAAUUGACGGGGGCCCGCACAAGCGGUGGAGCAUGUGGUUUAAUUCGAAGCUACGCGAAGAACCUUACCAGGUCUUGACAUACUAUGCAAAUCUAAGAGAUUAGACGUUCCCUUCGGGGACAUGGAUACAGGUGGUGCAUGGUUGUCGUCAGCUCGUGUCGUGAGAUGUUGGGUUAAGUCCCGCAACGAGCGCAACCCUUAUUAUCAGUUGCCAGCAUUAAGUUGGGCACUCUGGUGAGACUGCCGGUGACAAACCGGAGGAAGGUGGGGAUGACGUCAAAUCAUCAUGCCCCUUAUGACCUGGGCUACACACGUGCUACAAUGGAUGGUACAACGAGUUGCGAACUCGCGAGAGUAAGCUAAUCUCUUAAAGCCAUUCUCAGUUCGGAUUGUAGGCUGCAACUCGCCUACAUGAAGUCGGAAUCGCUAGUAAUCGCGGAUCAGCAUGCCGCGGUGAAUACGUUCCCGGGCCUUGUACACACCGCCCGUCACACCAUGAGAGUUUGUAACACCCAAAGUCGGUGGGGUAACCUUUAGGAACCAGCCGCCUAAGGUGGGACAGAUGAUUAGGGUGAAGUCGUAACAAGGUAACCA
rnacentral:rRNA from 1 species